rnacentral:misc_RNA from 1 species
CGGGAACGGUCCAUCCUUGCAAUCCUUUAACAAUAUGAAAAUCUGAUUGGGUAGCAUUUGUCACCUUGUAGGCUUGGUUGCUAUUAUGGUUCUAAAUGCAGUAAUACAUUAAUUUGCACCUAUAAUUUGAUGCAGAAAGCACUGGUUACAACAGUAAGGUACCUAACGGACACCAAGACGAUAACUUCUUCCCUGAAAAGCCACUCCACCAGCGGAAUUAUUUGGCUGCUGUGCUGGANCUGAAGGCCUGGUUCUGGUACCAUUGAGACGGUAGCUUCUUCCUCGGAAAGCAACUCCUGCGGAGGGAUCACGCUGCACUGGGGCAUUUACUUGUGUCCCUUCACCCCAAAAUGCNACCAGUUUGUGAACCCAGAGAGGAGUCCUCAGGACGAAAUUUCCACCAGAAAGAGGAUGAAGCACUG